ensembl:lncRNA
AUGCAAAUGUGUGGUCUACUGAAUCUGCUACAAAGAUCUGUUCAUCCCUCAUUGAGGAAAAGUUUCUUCACUGCUGUUCUUCACUGCUUCUUCACUUCAUCAUAUAACAGCGGGAGACCUGCCUCGCAGAAUGGCGCACCAUUCACAACAGGAUGUGUCACAGACAGCCUGGAACAUGUGGCCUUUGUCUCCGACUACAUCAGCGAAUGUGCUGUGAAGGAUACUAGGGAGCAGCAAUCCAUUAAUGAGAUUUGGGAAUUUAAGGGCUAUUGGGGAUCAGUUAUGCCCAGUGGUCUGAAACUGUUGCAACAAGCAGUCCGUAUUCUAGUUGAUUCAACAGCUGAAUGUGGAAGAUUGCUCUGUGCUAUGAAUGACCCACUCUCCCGUGCUGCCUGUAACUUGCUGACUGUUCCAGGCUUGUCAGAUCCCUUGUUUCUCAAACUCAGUAAUUCAGCAUUGAAGGACUUCGAUCCUAAAUACUAUCUGAAAAUGCCUGAUUUGUUGUUUGGGUCCAGCUGUACGUUGUCUUGUGGGAAGACGCUGUGGGGGAAACGGGAAGUCUCCUGAAAAUCAACAAAACACUAAUUUGAAUUAAACUGAAAUCAGGCCUCAGCUGCCUAUGCAUUUUAAGGAUGCUUUGCACUCUUAUAUUGGCUGAGAUUUGGUUAGAAUAAGUCUUGUAUGACAAAGAUACAGUAAGAAAGACACAGUAUUUGUUGAUACCACUAUAGUGGUGGCUAUACAAUUACAAAUGGACAUCUCAAUGUUAACCGUCUUGCUUUCUUCACAAAGCUCACAAAGGAACAUGAUUUCCUUAUAUACUUAAGUGGAAUUGUUUCAGUUGUUCCAGACCAUUCAUACUAUUCAGUAUUUGACUUGAAGUUAUUUAUUUUGUACUCAAUAUUUAUCCUUGUAGUUUAUUGUAGUUAUUACUGUCAUUUAAUGUACUCAUUUAGUGAUGCCUGAUAUCCAGUGCUAGUCAAAUAUCUUUAUUUGCGAGAUAACAUUGAGAAGGACUGCUCAGAUAAUUUCCAAGAGAUGCAGUUUGGACUGAAAUACUGAAAGAUGCAAAGGAUUUGUUCUUUAGUAUUUGGUAGUUCUUUCUGAGUUCAAUAAUCUCGUUUACCUUUAUAGUCCCAGUUAAUUUUCCUAGCCUAUAUUUCUGUUGCUAUUUCUGUUUCUAGGACUGUCCAGAAAAAGAAUUGUUCCAAGCACAUGCUUCAUGCCUUGCUUUAUGCUUGGAACAAUUCUUUUUCUGGACAGUCCUAAGAGUACCUCUCCUUAACUUUUGCUUCUUCUGUAUUCACCUCAUUCCUCAUAUCUUCACUUAUGUAAACAGCUGAAUUGCAUGUAGUGUCUGUGUUUGGCUUAUAUCUUGCACUGCUGAUUUUUCUGUACUUUGAAUUAUAUUUCCGCCUUUUUCUAAAAUAAUUUGGAAUUUUUGUAGUGUUAAUGACUGUGAUCCCUAAUCACAGUAUGAGAAUCUUUGGUCAUUUAUACUCUGGGUUCUGACUAUAAUGCAUUUUACUUUAUUUGGACACUUUUACUGAAAGCAAAUUUUUGUUAUAAAAAAUCAAUUAUUAGUUUUACUAGUUCAUAUUUCCAUAUCCUGCAAUCCCCGCCAUGGGAAUUUACAAACCAGUAAUGACUACCGUUGCUUUCCCAGUCUUUUGGGGAAACAGCCUACUUACUUGAUAAAGUAGACCACUUACCAAAUAUCUCUCAGUUCAAGAUGCAGUUCUUGAACUCUUGGCAACAUUUAAAGCACUGAAUAAAUACUAAGAUUCAACACA